GGUCAAAAAUCACAAAAAUAACACUUAAUGUUUUAUCAAAAGUCACAAACUUAGGGUUUAGAGUUAAAGGGUGGGGUUUAGGAUUUACGGUUUAGGGUUUAGGGUUUAGAGUUUAGGGUUUAGGGUUUAGGGUUUAGGGUUUAGGGUUUAGAGUUUAGAGGGUUUAGGGUUUACGGUUUAGAGUUUAGAGUUUAGGGUUUAGGGUUUAUAGUUUAGGGUUUAGGGUUUAGGGUUUAGGGUUUAUAGUUGAGAAAUGAGGUUUUGGGGAUAAGAUUUUAAAUUUUGAAAAAUAAAAAAAUUAAAAUUUUUAAAGGAUAAACUUAGAAAUGUGCUAUUUUGGUCAUUUUAGUUUUUGAGUGUUAUUUUUGUGAUAUAAACUUAGAAAGGUGCUU
rnacentral:lncRNA from 1 species